rnacentral:rRNA from 1 species
GGGGGAAUUUUGGACAAUGGGGGCAACCCUGAUCCAGCCAUGCCGCGUGCGGGAAGAAGGCCUUCGGGUUGUAAACCGCUUUUAGUCGGGAAGAAAAGGCGCGGCCUAAUACGUCGCGUUCUUGACGGUACCGGCGGAAUAAGCACCGGCUAACUACGUGCCAGCAGCCGCGGUAAUACGUAGGGUGCGAGCGUUAAUCGGAAUUACUGGGCGUAAAGCGUGCGCAGGCGGUUCGUUAAGUCUGAUGUGA